rnacentral:rRNA from 1 species
UCGACGAAGCGAUCAGGAGGAAGUUUUCGGAUGGAAUCCGGAUUGACUGAGUGGCGGACGGGUGAGUAACGCGUGGGUAACCUGCCUCAUACAGGGGGAUAACAGUUAGAAAUGACUGCUAAUACCGCAUAGCGCACAGGGACACAUGUUCCGGUGUGAAAAACUCCGGUGGUAUGAGAUGGACCCGCGUCUGAUUAGCUGGUUGGCGGGGUAACGGCCCACCAAGGCGACGAUCAGUAGCCGACCUGAGAGGGUGACCGGCCACAUUGGGACUGAGACACGGCCCAAACUCCUACGGGAGGCAGCAGUGGGGAAUAUUGCACAAUGGGGGAAACCCUGAUGCAGCAACGCCGCGUGAGUGAAGAAGUAUUUCGGUAUGUAAAGCUCUAUCAGCAGGGAAGAAGAUGACGGUACCUGAGUAAGAAGCCCCGGCUAACUACGUGCCAGCAGCCGCGGUAAUACGUAGGGGGCAAGCGUUAUCCGGAUUUACUGGGUGUAAAGGGAGCGUAGACGGUGAGACAAGUCUGAAGUGAAAGCCCGGGGCUCAACCCCGGGACUGCUUUGGAAACUGCCUGACUGGAGUGCUGGAGGGGCAAGCGGAAUUCCUAGUGUAGCGGUGAAAUGCGUAGAUAUUAGGAAGAACACCAGUGGCGAAGGCGGCUUGCUGGACAGUAACUGACGUUGAGGCUCGAAAGCGUGGGGAGCAAACAGGAUUAGAUACCCUGGUAGUCCACGCCGUANACGAUGAAUGCUAGGUGUNGGGGAGCAAAGCUUCUCGGUGCCGCCGCAAACGCAAUAAGCAUUCCACCUGGGGAGUACGUUCGCAAGAAUGAAAC